CCUACGGGAGGCAGCAGUAGGGAAUAUUGCUCAAUGGGGGAAACCCUGAAGCAGCAACGCCGCGUGGAGGAUGAAGGUUUUCGGAUUGUAAACUCCUUUUGUUAGAGAAGAUAAUGACGGUAUCUAACGAAUAAGCACCGGCUAACUCCGUGACAGCAGCCGCGGUAAUACGGAGGGUGCAAGCGUUACCCGGAAUCACUGGGGGUAAAGAGCGCGUAGGCGGGAUAGCAAGUCAGAUGUGAAAUCCUAUGGCUUAACCAGAGAACUGCAUUUGAAACUGUUAUUCUAGAGUAUGGGAGAGGUAGGUGGAAUUCUUGGUGUAGGGGUAAAAUCCGUAGAGAUCAAGAGGAAUACUCAUUGCGAAGGCGACCUGCUGGAACAUAACUGACGCUGAUGCGCGAAAGCGUGGGGAGCAAACAGGAUUAGAUACCCUUGUAGUC
rnacentral:rRNA from 1 species